GGGUCCGCCAUCCCUUCUGCCUUAGCCGCGAGGCUCGCCCCCACCGUGGGAGAGGUCGGAGCUCCGCUGCGGAGAAAACCGCGCUCGCAGAGGCGGCGGCGGCUCCCCAUGACCAGCGCCGGCCCUCGCCGGCUCCUCACAUACUUGGCAUAACUCUGCCGCGGGAAGGCGUGGGGGAGGGCGGUGGCGCCGCAACGCGCAUGCCCCGGAGCCCUGGGCCGCGACGGGGCGCGCGGGCCGCGGGCGGCAGAGAAACAUUUCUCAAGUGUCUACAAGUUCUAGAAAGGGAGUUUUUCGGAGGUGGCCACUCUACAGAAUAGUCCGUCGCCAUCAGGCCUCUGAAGCAAGGGGAAGGGGAAGAGAAAAAGCUGAAACACAAGGUUCAUCUGAAAAUGGUAAAUGAGGGCAAGAAAGAUGCAUUCCAGAACCUGCAUACCAAAAUAUUACAGACACACAGGAAAUGACUCUUCAAAUCCAGGCUGUAAACCUGUCAUUUCGUGGGCUUGUCUGCGAGCCUAGAAAAGCUAGGCAAAGAUCACACUGAAGACAUUCCUGUUUGGGGCUGGCUGUACUGGAGGACCUCUGGAGGCCUUUCCAUGCCAGGUACUAUGAUUCUAAACACAAGCCAUAAAAUGAAAUGUUAGAGGAAAGCCAAUGAAAUUUGAGGCAAAAUUUGUGGCUUAAAGCUUAUUUUGCUUUAAAAAAAUGCAUGCAGACUUCGAAAAACUAUACUUUACAUGCAAUAAAAACUUU